AGCGCGAUCACGCGCAUCCCCCGAAAGGGAAUCGGGUUAAGAUUUCCCGAGCCGGGAUGUGGCGGUUGACGGCGACGUUAGGAAGUCCGGAGACGCCGGCGGGGGCCUCAGGAAGAGUUAUCUUUUCUGCUUAACGGCCUGCCAACCCUGGAAACGGUUCAGCCGGAGGUAGGGUCCAGUGGCCGGAAGAGCACCGCACAUCGCGCGGUGUCCGGUGCGCCCCCGGCGGCCCAUGAAAAUCCGGAGGACCGAGUACCGUUCACGCCUGGUCGUACUCAUAACCGCAUCAGGUCUCCAAGGUGAACAGCCUCUGGCCAAUUGAACAAUGUAGGCAAGGGAAGUCGGCAAAACGGAUCCGUAACUUCGGGAAAAGGAUUGGCUCUGAGGACUGGGCUCGGGGGUCCCGGCCCCGAACCCGUCGGCUGUCGGCGGAUUGCUCGAGCUGCUCACGCGGCGAGAGCGGGUCGCCGCGUGCCGGCCGGGGGACGGACCGGGAAUCGCCCCUUCGGGGGCUUUCCC
rnacentral:ncRNA from 1 species